UAGGGAUCGGAUAGAUUAACCUUCGUAAGUACAUACGACAAAAGGAGUAAGAAGGUAGAAAAGAUAGUGAAACAAUAUUGGCCACUUCUGCAAACUGAUGCUAUCUUCGGAAAAGUUUUUUCGAAUCCCCCGCGGUUCUCGUAUAAAAAGGGUAAGUCAAUAAGAGACACAUUAUGUGCCAUUUCAAGAGUGGAUAAUAGCAAUACUGUGUUUAAAGGUACACCAAAAGUAGGCACAUACCCGUGCAUGAAUUGCAACUGUUGCAAUUCCAUUAUAAAAGGACCUUGUAUAAAUCAUCCCAUUACAGGUGAGGUAAUCAAACUAAAGUCAUACGCCACAUGUAAAACCAGCCACGUAAUUUAUGCUCUGAAAUGUCCCUGCGGGAAAAUGUACGUAGGGAAGACAAUAAGGUCUGUCAGUACUAGGAUAAAAGAGCAUAAAGGCAAUAUACGCAAUUUUAAAAAUGAUACCUAUACUGACACUCCUGUAGCCAGACAUUUUGAUACUGUAAAACAUAAUGUAUGUCAGCUAAAGUGGAUAGUGUUAGAGACAGUAGCAAAACCCAGUAGAGGAGGUGAUCAUAACUUGAUACUAUUGCAGAGGGAGGCCAGAUGGAUAAAGCGCUUGGAUAGUGCUUAUCCGAAAGGGUUAAAUGAGCAGUGCAAUUUAUCAUGUUUUCUUUAAUAGUAAUGGCUUGUCGUCCUUUGUUCCCAGGAAUUAUAACUAGAUUCCAAGUUGUAAUGACAUGGAACUCCUGCUGCAUUUACAUAUGGGUCUUUUACAGGUUAGGCGGAUUGAGCAGUAACCUGGUUUUAACAUUAUGUUUCAGUGGGAUUUCAACAUGUAUUAUAUGAAAUAAUGUGUGUCACUUUUAAUAGCUAGAUGAAUUGGGUCACAAUAAGUUUUUACAAUAUUUA